CAUUCAGUGUACAUAAGCAUAUGACUACAUUUACUUUUGAUGUUUUCAGUUGAUACCUCUGAACUUGUGAACAAUGUCUGUUCCGUCGAGUAUUCGAAUUCGGGAAUCAGCAGAUGUCACAAGCGCUUCGGAUGGAUUCAUUGGGGAAAACUGUUCAGGUAUGCAUUUUGGUCAAUUUUCCUUUCAGUUAAAUGAUGAGAUGGAAGUCCUUAUUAAAAAAAUGAUGAGAUGGAAGUGAGAGGAAGGCAGUAGUAUUACCUGGAAACCAGUAAUCUUUUUUGUGUUAGACUUCUUCUUGGUCCGUAUAUCAACCUGAUGUUGUUGCUCUAGUUUGCAAUCUGGGCAAGCAAUGAAAGUAAUCAAGUACUAAUCCAAGUACUAUAAGCAAAAGGUAUGCAUCGAUAAGAACAACGCAGCAAAUCAUACCCUCUGCACUGUACAUGCGACAAGUCCCCUUGUGCGAACCAAUCAGGGCAUUCUUCAAUUGUGAUAAAAGAAAAAUCAUUAGUAAAAUUGCAUAAGAUUGUCUUCUCUAGAUUUGAAACACAAAUAAAGAGUCAUGAGGUGACCAUGAGUUCUCUGCUUCAAUGUUGCAUAUAGUUUGGUUUUUGACUCUCCUUAGUUUCCUAUUGAGUAUGAAUCAAUAAAGGCUAAAUUUAUUAUGAUACUGCAAUUUUACGUCAGACAUGGAGUGAAUGACCUUAUAAUGUACAAAGUGCUUGGACUCCACUUGUUUUUCAGGGGCCAAACUCUGAAAGCCUGUAGUCCAAGAUGGACAAGAUCUGAUUUCUACCUGUACUAUAUGGCUAAAACCAUCUAUGAACAAGCAGAAAUUCGUCAAAUGUAAAAUUUUGAAAGAUUCUCUUAAGUUGCCUUGGAACAGACUACCUCACAAGUAUUAGACAUGUUUGCCUUUUGAUUCAGUGCUUGGUGGCCAAGUUAGAACUGCAAAAGCAACAUAUACGGACCUGGCCAUCAGGGGUAUAGCAAGCAGCAGUGACCAUUUCAUGAAGAUCACUCCAGUCAACAACUUGUCGAUCAGGUCACUGCAAAUCAUAAACCACAUCAAAAGCCAUCAGCAAUAGACGAUAAUCAACACAUGAAAAUGAGGCCAACUGAGGAUGAAAAUCAGUUAAAUGUAGGUACCAUAAUCAUUGUGGGCAAACAACUUGAGACAGCUCUUGCUUUCCAAAUCCCACAACCUCACUGUUUUGUCCAUCGAAGAUGAAAGCAGUAGCUGCAAAAUGACAUACGAUAUACUUCAGUUUUCAUCAGUCAUGCAUAUAAUUCUGUUGGCAAAAACUACAUGAGUGAUUGUUUA